rnacentral:rRNA from 1 species
AGGCCUAACACAUGCAAGUCGAGCGGAAACGACACUAACAAUCCUUCGGGUGCGUUAAUGGGCGUCGAGCGGCGGACGGGUGAGUAAUGCCUAGGAAAUUGCCUUGAUGUGGGGGAUAACCAUUGGAAACGAUGGCUAAUACCGCAUAAUGCCUACGGGCCAAAGAGGGGGACCUUCGGGCCUCUCGCGUCAAGAUAUGCCUAGGUGGGAUUAGCUAGUUGGUGAGGUAAUGGCUCACCAAGGCGACGAUCCCUAGCUGGUCUGAGAGGAUGAUCAGCCACACUGGAACUGAGACACGGUCCAGACUCCUACGGGAGGCAGCAGUGGGGAAUAUUGCACAAUGGGCGAAAGCCUGAUGCAGCCAUGCCGCGUGUAUGAAGAAGGCCUUCGGGUUGUAAAGUACUUUCAGUUGUGAGGAAGGGGGUAGCGUUAAUAGCGCUAUCUCUUGACGUUAGCAACAGAAGAAGCACCGGCUAACUCCGUGCCAGCAGCCGCGGUAAUACGGAGGGUGCGAGCGUUAAUCGGAAUUACUGGGCGUAAAGCGCAUGCAGGUGGUUCAUUAAGUCAGAUGUGAAAGCCCGGGGCUCAACCUCGGAACUGCAUUUGAAACUGGUGAACUAGAGUACUGUAGAGGGGGGUAGAAUUUCAGGUGUAGCGCUGAAAUGCGUAGAGAUCUGCAGGAAUACCCAGUGGCGAAGGCGG